ACAGGGCGGGACGCACCUAUUCCGAGAAAGGAAAAGUGAAAUCUAAGACCGACGGCGGAAAAACUGGCAAUCUAUGGGAUGUUGUCAAUGGGAUGCCAUGGUUCAAAAUCAGCGAGGGUCUUGGAUCCGGGGGAUUCCAGGGUACGCGAAAGGUGGUGACGGCCGACCACAGAAGCCAGCUGGCAGUGCUGCGAUCUCCCUUGAGGACACAGAAAUGUUUGAAGAGGACUGAAGGAUGACAAAGAACAGCUGGAGGAGACCGUAAGACGGUGGACUACAGUCAACAAUGUUGCAGCAACUCAGAAGACUGGUGGAGAAGGGUUGUCCCCAGUUUUACCGAUGAGCAGUGGAUUGAAAAUUGUAUUAAUAAAUUAUCCAUUUAUCACUGGC